AUUUUACCUUUAAUCGAUGAGAAAAAAUGAUAUUGAGUGUUUUUUUGAAAUAUUUGACUGAAUCAUUUUCUUAUUCAUCAAAAUUCACCCUGUAUUUCAAGGGUUCUUGAAACUAUGCAUCGGAUGUUCUUUGUUAAUGACUCUUGAGAGGUUCUUCUUCUACCUAACUCGAUGCUUUUCGAAAAUAUUCAAAUUAAAAACAACAUUCGUAUUUCAGUCUGAGUUUCUUGUCAGAAACAACUUUGUUUAUCUUUUGAAGUCAUUCUCUUCAUAAAAUUUCCUAUGGCUCAUAAAACUCCAAAAAACUUAUCUUUAAGAGGCAUUUUAUGAUAUCUAAACAAAUAUUAUCCUACGUAUUUUCCAAUUAUAGGUUCAAUCAACACUUAAAAUGAUUCAUUUGUUGAGAAACUCUUUUAUUAUCACUUAAUCUAUAUUUUUUCAAGAUUGGAUUAUCUAAUAGUAUAAAUAGCUAAGUCAAGUAACGGUGUCCUCAGAGGUAUUUUUGAAAGAUACAGCUGAAAAUGUGCGACGAUCAUCACCACCACCACGAUCACCAUGAUCAUCAUCACCACCAUGAGCACCACGAUCAUCACCAUCAUGUCCCACCACCACCAGAUCCAUGUGUGCACAUAGAAACAUAUACUGAUGGUCCACCACGAUGCUGGGAGGACAACUGCCAAAACAGAGAAUGCCGUUAUCAUUACGGGCAUCAUAACCAACACCACCACCACAAUUGUUGAGAAGACUCGCAAUAAAGAUAUUUUACGUAAAUUUUCAAUUAGGGAAAUAAUAUCAAUGUUUCUAUAUAUUCUUUCCAUUAAACUGGGAAUUUAAUCAAUAAAUAUCAAAAACAAA